rnacentral:rRNA from 1 species
GAAUUUUGGACAAUGGGCGCAAGCCUGAUCCAGCCAUUCCGCGUGCAGGAUGAAGGCCCUCGGGUUGUAAACUGCUUUUGUACGGAACGAAAAGCGCUGAGUUAAUACCUCGGCGUCAUGACGGUACCGUAAGAAUAAGCCCCGGCCAACUACGUGCCAGCAGCCGCGGUAAUACGUAGGGUGCAAGCGUUAAUCGGAAUUACUGGGCGUAAAGCGUGCGCAGGCGGUUAUGUAAGACAGGUGUGAAAUCCCAGGGCUUAACCUUGGAACUGCAUUUGUGACUGCAUAGCUAGAGUACGGUAGAGGGGGAUGGAAUUCCGCGUGUAGCAGUGAAAUGCGUAGAUAUGCGGAGGAACACCGAUGGCGAAGGCAAUCCCCUGGACCUGUACUGACGCUCAUGCACGAAAGCGUGGGGAGCAAACAGG